GAUGAACGCUGGCGGCGUGCCUAAUACAUGCAAGUCGAGCGAACAGAUGAGGAGCUUGCUCCUCUGACGUUAGCGGCGGACGGGUGAGUAACACGUGGAUAACCUACCUAUAAGACUGGGAUAACUUCGGGAAACCGGAGCUAAUACCGGAUAAUAUAUUGAACCGCAUGGUUCAAUAGUGAAAGACGGUUUUGCUGUCACUUAUAGAUGGAUCCGCGCCGCAUUAGCUAGUUGGUAAGGUAACGGCUUACCAAGGCAACGAUGCGUAGCCGACCUGAGGGGGUGAUCGGCCACACUGGAACUGAGACACGGUCCAGACUCCUACGGGAGGCAGCAGUAGGGAAUCUUCCGCAAUGGGCGAAAGCCUGACGGAGCAACGCCGCGUGAGUGAUGAAGGUCUUCGGAUCGUAAAACUCCGUUAUUAGGGAAGAACAAAUGUGUAAGUAACUAUGCACGUCUUGACGGUACCUAAUCAGAAAGCCACGGCUAACUACGUG
rnacentral:rRNA from 1 species